rnacentral:rRNA from 1 species
UACGAAGGGGGCUAGCGUUGCUCGGAAUUACUGGGCGUAAAGGGCGCGUAGGCGGACAGUUUAGUCAGAGGUGAAAGCCCAGGGCUCAACCUUGGAAUUGCCUUUGAUACUGGCUGUCUUGAGUUCGGGAGAGGUGAGUGGAAUGCCGAGUGUAGAGGUGAAAUUCGUAGAUAUUCGGAAGAACACCAGUGGCGAAGGCGGCUUCCUGGACCGUGGCUGACGCUGAGGCGCGAAAGCGUGGGGAGCGAUCCGG